rnacentral:rRNA from 1 species
UACGUAGGGCGCAAGCGUUGUCCGGAAUUAUUGGGCGUAAAGAGCUCGUAGGCGGUUUGUCGCGUCUGCUGUGAAAACUCGAGGCUCAACCUCGGGCUUGCAGUGGGUACGGGCAGACUAGAGUGCGGUAGGGGAGACUGGAAUUCCUGGUGUAGCGGUGGAAUGCGCAGAUAUCAGGAGGAACACCGAUGGCGAAGGCAGGUCUCUGGGCCGCAACUGACGCUGAGGAGCGAAAGUGUGGGGAGCGAACAGG